GGCUGCACAAAUGCAUAUGAAGGGCGGAGAUAUGAAACUUUACCUCUAGCUCCAGGGGCUGGAAACAGCUUGUCAGGAAGAAUAGAGAGGGACUGCUCCUAGAGCUUUGUUCGACAGUUUCCAGGACAGCCAGGAGAGGACACAGGAAUGACCAGACCCAAAGGGCAUAGCCCACAGCCAAGUGGACAGGAACACAACUUGAUGUCCUCAAAGUAGCCCAAUAGGUUCUGGAACCGAAGUUCAGACUGGUCACCUCCCUCUGGCUGGCAGGAAAAUGGGAGGCCACAGAAGAGCUCAGCAUCUGAAGAAAGGGUGGUGCUGGCAGGCAGAGAGCAACAAGCCCUGGCUUCUUGUUGGGCUGGUAGUGUGAGGACUCCUGAGAAAAUCCAUUGCCUAUAUGGGCAGCAACAUGCAACAGCUGGGGGCUAAGUGUCAGGUUAAAGUGUACAACCCCAUGGGAUUACUAGGAAGAACACAGCCUUUUCAAAACAGGCCAGUGAAGAGUGCCUAUUCCAGGAAAGGCCCUGUGGACUUACACCCUUGGGUUUGUUAGCAAGUGAGUCUUGCAAGUUGCAAUUAUGGAGUGUACAAAUUUUCUCAGGAAAGACAUCAAGAAAAGUGGCAUGAAGGGAGAGGAAAGGCAGAAAAGAUGGUCAUGCAAUCCUCUACACUUUGUGAGACCUUUGCAGUGGGAGACCCCCGAGCUGCCCACAAUUCAAAGGCCAUCUCCAAUCUCAGCCUGCAAGAAGAUUCCAGAGCGAUCACAGCCCACCAGUCUCAGCUGUUUUGUAAGCAUUGAUUGCUGCCAACAACUGUUCUCUAGGGGCUUUGUGUAUGUGCUAGGAGGUAGGGCUCUUCAGAAAAGGAGUGGAAGCUACAACCUCAAGACAAUAUCUAGAGAGAAGGCAGUCAGAGGAGCCAAGGAAAGAGCUAGUUUAUUAACGUUUGACCAAGACCCAGGACAACUGUUA
ensembl:lncRNA novel transcript, antisense to ANKS1A